GAAAGUUCCCUUCGGGGGACAAGUAGAGUGGCGCACGGGUGAGUAACACGUAGGUAAUCUACCUUUGGAUGGGGAAUAACAACCGGAAACGGUUGCUAAUACCGCAUAAUGCAGCGGCACCUAAUGGUGACAGUUGUUAAAGCGGGGGAUCGAAAGACCUCGCGUCUGAAGAGGAGCCUGCGGCGGAUUAGCUAGUUGGUAAGGUAACGGCUUACCAAGGCGACGAUCCGUAGCCGGCCUGAGAGGGCGGUCGGCCACACUGACACUGACAUACGGGUCAGACUCCUACGGGAGGCAGCAGUCGGGAAUUUUGGGCAAUGGGCGAAAGCCUGACCCAGCAACGCCGCGUGAAGGAUGAAAUCCCUCGGGAUGUAAACUUCGCAAGAACGGGAAGAAUAAGUAGGGGACAAUACCCCCUAUGAUGACGGUACCGUUUGUAAGCUCCGGCUAACUCCGUGCCAGCAGCCGCGGUAAUACGGGGGGAGCAAGCGUUGUUCGAAUUUACUGGGCGUAAAGGGCGCGUAGGCGGCCACCGCAAGUCAAUUGUGAAAUCUCCGGGCUUAACUCGGAAAGGUCAACUGAUACUGCGGGGCUAGAGUGCGGAAGGGGCAACUGGAAUUCUUGGUGUAGCGGUGAAAUGCGUAGAUAUCAAGAGGAACACCUGCGGCGAAGGCGGGUUGCUGGGCCGACACUGACGCUGAGGCGCGAAAGCUAGGGGAGCGAACGGGAUUAGAUACCCCGGUAGUCCUAGCC
rnacentral:rRNA from 1 species